rnacentral:rRNA from 1 species
UACGAAGGGGGCUAGCGUUGUUCGGAAUUACUGGGCGUAAAGCGUAUGCAGGCGGAUCGUUAAGUCGGGGGUGAAAUCCCGAGGCUCAACCUCGGAACUGCCUUCGAUACUGGCGACCUUCGAGUCCGGGAGAGGUGAGUGGAACUCCGAGUGUAGAGGUGAAAUUCGUAGAUAUUCGGAAGAACACCAGUGGCGAAGGCGGCUCACUGGCCCGGUACUGACGCUGAGAUACGAAAGCGUGGGAGCAAACAGG